GCUGUUUCUUUUGGCAUAAUGCAGUGGGAUUGUUAACCCUUUCAUUUGCUUAGCUCCCGAGUAGAAUUUACAGGUUUGACUGAAUUGUGGAGAGGAAUGGCGAUUCGUUGCUGGUGCGGAGUCAGGAGUGCUUGGAGAAGGUUGCCAAGACGGUCUCCUUCCUCGCGCAGCCUGAAGGCUCAUUCCUGCUGUUGCUCACAGUUCAAAAGGACCGCGCGCUGGAGCUCCUAAACGUGCGCCCCUUCUACUUCGUUUACUUAUGUGGCGUGAAGACAUAAAGCAAACCUUUGGAGCCAUAGUUGUCUUUUUUGUCAUCUAAAAUAAUAAUGGUAACAUAUUAAUGCAAACAAAAUAAUAUUGUAGCUCAAAAAAUUGUAUGUGAAUAAUGAAUGGAUGCUAUGGAACUAUAUUUGUUA